CAGCUGGCAACAAGGUAUUUAACCCCAACUGAUGCAAUGAGUAGCUUCUCAUUUCUUAAACAACCAUUUCAAAAGACACAUCCCGUGAUCGUGGAAAAGAUGUUAGUCUUUCCAAUGCAUUAUUAAAAACUGGAAGGAUAGUGGGGAACCACCAGUGAUGGGUGCAUCAGGGUAAGAAGAGAGGCAGAUGAAGUGACGCACACAUCAUGCCUAGUGCCUACUGUACAAGCCAGUGGGGGCAGUGCUAUGAUCUGGGGUUGCUGCAGUUGGUCAGGUCUAGGUUCAGCAACAUUAUGUGCCCAAAGAAUGAGGUCAGCGGACUACCUGAAUUUACUGGAUGACCAGGUUAUUUCAACAAUGGAUUUUUUUCUUCCCUCAUGGCACUUGCAUAUUCCAAGAUGACAAUGCCUGGAUGUAUCGGGCUCAAAUUGUGAAAGAAUGGUUCAGGGAGAAUGAAACAUCAUUUUCACAUAUGGAUUGGCCACCACAGAUUCCAGACCUUAACCCCAUUGAUAAUCUUUGGGAUGUGCAGGAGAUGGCUUUGCACUGUGGUCCAACUCUCCCAUCAUUAAUACAAGAUCUUGGUGGAAAAAUUUAUGUAACACUGGAUGGAAAUAAAUCUUGUGACAUUGCAGAAGCUUAUUGAAGCAAUACCACAG